UCAACACAAAAUUAUGCCUUGACUGGUUACAUAAAAUCAACUUAGACACCCAUAAAUCUAAUCAACCAUGACCCUAUUUUAAAUUUAACCUCUAACACAAAACUAUGUACAGGAUCUACAAUGAGAAUUAAUCUGUAAAUGAAAAUUUGAAUAGUUAAAGAUGUUUUGUAGGAGAAUGAACACCAGAAUGAAACUGAGCUGCUUGUAGUCCUCGGAAUUUGGUCUGAGAGAAGCAUAACAUAAAGUUUGGCAAAUAAAAGCUUCACUUCACAUGCUACUUAAAGAAUAUAUAUUUCUGCGUGUCAAAUAACAAGUUUAUUUCCUCACCUUAAUGUCUGACAGUCUUAAUGGUCCAUCUGCUCCAACUUUAUUUCUUUGGUCCGUUGACCAACUGUUUGUAGCCUUAUUUUGCUGAUUGUUAGCUGUAAACAAAAAUCAUGGCCAAUCAUUUAUUGUGUGCUUUUAAAAACAAAAACAGAAACCAUGCAUAAAUAGGCAUAGCAAGAAAGCAAAUAAGGACAUUACAACCUCUUUUACAUGACAGUUCACUGUUCAAUAAAAUAAAAUAUCAUGUUAAAGGCAAAUAAGGACAUUUCAAAUAAGGACAGAAAGCAUAUGCAUCAAUACCAUUAAAGACUGAAACUAAGCUCUUUCUAUGAAAGUUUACUUUUCAAUUCAUUCAUACUAAUAAACUUUUCAAUUCAUUGUAUAAAACAAACAAUAGGUUGUAUAAACUAGUAUACUUUUCAAUUGAUUGUAUAAAACAAACAGAAACUAAACUCUUUCUAAGACAAUUUACUGUAAAUUAAUCCAUAUACCAAUCCAUUUCUCAAUAUCUAACAGUCAUAUUUUAUCCAGGUGAGAUAUUUAGAACCCCGACUCUUGCUCCAAUCUAUUAAAUUUAAAUAUAUUAAUCAACAAAUACACAAAAGAAUGCAUGAAUAGAUUAAAAGAUUUAAUUUAUAAAAAGACAGAAGAAAAGAAAAGAACAAAAACAAAGAGUGCAUAGAUAAGAGCAAAAUUAUGAACAGUGUCUUUAAAUUUCUCCUCAUCAAGGAAUUGAAGUAUAAGGAACACAAGUUAUCUACUAAGUACAACCCAAUCCAAAAGUACUCAUUAUAAUUGAGACUAAAAACAAUAAGAUUCAUGGACUUUAAUAAGAUUUUUUAGUUCAAAUCCAAAGUCAAAACCCUUAGAUUCAGAAUUCAACAAAUUGAUUCUUCUUUAAAAUUUUUAAUUUAUUUUGACUUUGAUAAUAUGGAUAUGAAUUAAGUAAUUUGGAGCGAACUCGUAAAUAAAUUUAAAAAAAAAUUACAAUUCCAACUCGUAAAGUUCAACAACCCAAUAACUUAUCCAAAAAAAAAAGAUAUAAAAAAAUAUAGAAUGAAAUUAAAAAUUACCAGAUUAAUUGCAUAGAUCGGGAGAAAUUUUUGGAGAAAGUGAAGAGAACGGCAGGUCAUUUUACUGGAGAAAGCAAAGCGAAGCAAAGAGAAAAGGGUUAGGAUUUGAAAAAUGAGAAAAUAAAUUAAGAAACAAACAAAAUGAAAAACAUAAAAACUUACACAGCGAUGCAGCAGAGGACUGUCGACGGCGAUGUGGUAAACUAUCGACAGCGAUGCAACAGACGGUCGGGGAAAAUAUAAGGGAUUUGGGGAUUUU
rnacentral:lncRNA from 1 species